GGCCCCGUAACUCAGCCGGAUAGAGUGCCACUUUCCUAAAGUGGAAGCCGCAGGUUCGAGUCCUGCCGGGGUCGCCA
rnacentral:tRNA from 1 species